GAGGGUAUAACUCAAAGGUAGAGUGUGGUACUUUUAAUACCAAAGUUGUAGGUUCAAGUCCUACUGUCCUUA
rnacentral:tRNA from 2 species